CGCAAGCCUGACGGAGCAACGCCGCGUGUGGGAAGAAGGCUCUUGGGCUGUCAACCACUUUUCUCAGGGAAGAAGUUCUGACGGUACCUGAGGAAUCAGCCUCGGCUAACUCCGUGCCAGCGGCCGCGGUAAUACGGAGGAGGCAAGCGUUAUCCGGAAUUAUUGGGCGUAAAGCGUCCGCAGGGGGCGCAUCAAGUCUGCUGUCAAGGGUCGGAGCUUAACUCCGGUAGGCAGUGGAAACGGGUGUGCUAGAGGGCGACAGGGGUAGAGGGAAUUCCCAGUGUAGCGGUGAAAUGCGUAGAGAUUGGGAAGAACACCGGUGGCGAAAGCGCUCUACUGGGUCGCACCUGACCCUCAGGGACGAAAGCUAAGGGAGCG
rnacentral:rRNA from 1 species